ensembl:lncRNA LINC01667 long intergenic non-protein coding RNA 1667
GGCAGUGCUUGGGUAUCGAGGCUCUGAGGCUCCGGUCUCACCUCUCCACGGGCUCGAAGGGAAACUCUCCUGAUGCCAGCAGUCGCAAAGGGCCGACUAUGAAGAUGAAACCCCAGGUGGAGACCGGGGAAGCAGCACGGGAUCCCAGCCUCAGGCCUGCACGGACGGUGUUUGUUGGGCCUCUUUUCUAGGAUCAAGAUGAACAUACUGCAGCGGAGGACAAGAGCCCCAGAGGAACUCUUUGUCCCACAGGAGAGCAGCGGAUCCACGCUAGAGAAGACGCUUGUAUCUCUUCACGGCUCUUCUCUGAGAAAUGAAGCCACUCCACGAUACAGUCAGCAAGAGGAAACCGGGAAUGGAAGAUGGCAACAAUCCCUGUCACUGGAACGCUGGCCUCUCUGGACAAGCCACCCUUUUGGAACCCCACCCCUUACACCCGUGGCCGUGGCACAGUGCUGUAUCCUGCCUGUGCUCUGGCCUCUGCUCUCUCCUCCCUCUGGCUCUGCCUCCCCUAUUUCUCAGGGGCCUGGAUGUGUUUCGCUCUGGCCGAAUGCCUUCAACAAAGAUGACUUCCCAGUCCGUCAAGGAGACACUUCCUGGAGAAGGUCCUUAGCACUCACCAGGAACAGUGGUUGCCUCUAGGAAUGAAAUGGGAUGACGGAAGACCUGGGGAGCCGUGGCAGGAGGAGACACUCAUGAUGCGCCUUUUGGCCAUAGUCACUGUCAUGGCUAAGAAAGCAACUCCAACCCACACACUGCAAAUAUGAAGGACCACGAAAGGCACGCAGGCUCUGGUUUGCAUAGUGAAGAUGAGCGUCUGUGUUCCUAAGCAUGAAGGAGGACCACAUGAGUAUCCUGGACACCUACUGCAUGAAUGUAUUCGCCCUUUCAGAUCUAGGGACCUGCAUCUCCUGGACAGUCAGCCGAGUGUUUCCAUGAUACCAGCCAUACCUGAUGCCAGGAGACUCGCUACACUUGGAAGCUCUUCAAGAGGAGUUCCCUGUGCAAGGGAAGCACAUGGUAGGGUUAAUGCUACAUGGAACAUGAACUCUGAAGACCCUCAUUUUGGUUUCCAUGAAGGUGGUGAAGGUUCUCCAAAUAAAAGCAUUUCCAAUAAGGGUGAAGAGUAGAGAGCAGUGAUGUUUCCAAAAAGUUUAGAAUUCCUCCUUCAAAUGACUUCCUAAUGAAUAUCAGAAGGCAAUGUGUGGAGUCACAAGUCAUUGGAAUGGCACCCACUGUGUAAUUUCAACAAAACACUUCAUCCCUCUGAGCCUCUGGUGGCUCAUCUGUAAAUUAAGGCAAAUUCUAUCUUCAAAUUUCUUCACUCUUUGAUCAACAACUUUUAUUCAACUUUGUUGAAAAGAACAAAAAAAUUGCAUCUCUGGU